CAAGUGCCUUGCUGCUUCCAUCAAGUGGUCCUGGCUGAAUUAUCUUCCGGGGAAGACAACUAGGCUUGUGAAAUCUCAUGCCUGACAGGACAAUUUUGCAUGACACUUCUGACCUGCAUGUCAAGAGAAAACGCAAGAUUGAAGAAGCCCAGAUCGCAAGGGAAGUUGAAGUUAAUGAAAACUGAAUUCGCAAAGCACUAGAGAAAGAAAAUAUUUUGAGGAGAAAGGCUGAGGAACGAAUGAGGAAAGAGAUGGAAAGAUUUGAUCGUGAAAGAAGGAAGGAAGAAGAAAGGUUGAUGCGUGAACAGCAGAGAGAGGAGGAGAGAUUGCUACGUGAGCAAAGGCGAGAAUCAGAGCGACGGGAGAAGUAUUUACAGAAAGAAUCUAUUAAGGCGGAGAAAAAGAGACAAAAGAAGAGCUUCGUCGAGAAAAAGAAGCAGAGAGACGAAAAGCUGCAGUGGAGAAGGCCACUGCUGGCAGAAUUGCCAAGGAAUCCACGGAGCAUAUGGAGGAUGAACAGCUGGAGUUGAUGGAAUUGGCCGUUGCAAGCAAGGGGUUGCCUUCAAUCGUUAAUCUCGAUCAUGUCACUAUGCAGAACCUUGAGUUGUUCAGAGGUGUUUAUGACGCCUGAAGGAAAAGGGUGGGGUCUGCAAGCACUGGAUGAACUGCCUAAAGGUGCAUUUGUAUGUGCUCCUUGAUUCUGAUUGGAGCUCCAUGUGUGUGAAGGAUGAUGAAGCUCUUUGUUUGGAUUCAACGACCUUUGGAAACAUUGCUAGGUUUAUCAACCAUAGAGAUCAGGGUGAGGUGCUAGCUGAAGCUCUAAAGAUGAUGCUGUGCAAUGAUAGGCACUCACUUGACAUGCAGAAGGCUGCAGCGUUCAUAAAGCGUUUAGCCACAUUCUUGUUAUGCUUUGAGUCUGCAAAGUCCAUGGCUGCCUUGGUCACUUUAAAGCAUCUCCUAUUAAAUGCCGGUUUUUGUUGGAAAAUGAUCCUGGAGGUGGCUCAGUAUCAGGUUCUGUUGCAGUAAGCAAUUUACUGCUUCCAUGCAGAACCCUUAAUUGAUGCAUGAUAUGUUGGAUUUAAAAUGGAGAUGAAGGAAGUAAGGCUGAAAAGAGAAGUGUCUCCUUUCUCCGUGAUGCAAUUUUGGGUGCAUAAGAGAGAUGAACACAUGCUGUCAAGGUCCAGAAGGUUCUAAAAUUCCACCAAUGGAAAAGUCUCAAAAUGCUUUAACUAUUGGUCCAUCAUUACGACUUCAAGGAUUGUUAGUACCGUUCUUCUCUUUCAAACGGCCAUCCCUUGGUCAAGAGAAUCAAGUCAAAGUUCUCAACAAACUUGCUUCAGCUCGAGCUUCAGGAGCAGGUAGUAGCAGCAGAGUCUUGACAGAUUUGGUAGAGGGUCUAGAAGAAGCAGCUGUUGCUGUAGAAUUGAGGUUGAAGAUCAACCAGAGUCAUCCGGACUUAAAGGGAGGAUCUUUCUGAGACUAUGGAGAGGCAGUGUUGAAGCACUUGGAGAACUCUAUUGAUUUGGACCCAAAGCUUCAGAAAGCUCCAGUAAAUUAUGAAGGAGCCCGGGUAUCUGGGUUUGGAGGAUGGUUCCUUUUGAGGCUCUUGCUUUAUGAUCCUGUUCUUCCUCUUAACAUUGAGGCACCAACUCACGAUGACGCUGUAAAACUUGGACUUGCCGUGCUUGGGGCUAUUAAGGAGUUUGCAGCUUUGGAUACAUCCGCUUUAGACAAGUUUGUUCAAGUAUCAUGAGCCGAUGAUGCAGAGCGCUUUGGUACAAGUAUCUUUCGGCACAUUAUACUGGCAGUUAAAGUCGGCUUUUGCGUCUACCUCUGUACAGUACGUAUAAUCAGUGCGUCAAUCUCUGAUUCUGAGGAGGUCCAUUUUCCAGAUGGUUUUCGUCACUGGCACUCAAAAUACUACUUGAUGGCUAUGUUUACUUUAGUUUUUACUUGAUAAAUAAGAAACGUUCUUCGACUACAGAAUUUUUCGGAGGGAUGUUUGAA